rnacentral:rRNA from 1 species
UAUCCUACGGGGGGCAGCAGUCGGGAAUAUUGCACAAUGGAGGAAACUCUGAUGCAGUGACGCCGCGUGCAGGAAGAAGGUUUUCGGAUUGUAAACUGCUUUAGAUAGGGAAGAAAAAAGACAGUACCUAUAGAAUAAGCUCCGGCUAACUACGUGCCAGCAGCCGCGGUAAUACGUAGGGAGCAAGCGUUAUCCGGAUUUAUUGGGUGUAAAGGGUGCGUAGGCGGAUUUUUAAGUCAGCGGUCAAAUCGUGGGGCUCAACCCCAUCCAGCCGUUGAAACUGGGGAUCUAGAGUGUGC